rnacentral:rRNA from 1 species
AGCAGCCGCCGCGGUAAUACGUAGGUGGCAAGCGUUGUCUGGAAUUAUUGGGCGUAAAGGGCUCGCAGGCGGUUUCUUAAGUCCGAUGUGAAAGCCCCCGGCUCAACCGGGGAGGGUCAUUGGAAACUGGGAAACUUGAGUGCAGAAGAGGAGAGUGGAAUUCCACGUGUAGCGGUGAAAUGCGUAGAGAUGUGGAGGAACACCAGUGGCGAAGGCGACUCUCUGGUCUGUAACUGACGCUGAGGAGCGAAAGCGUGGGGAGCGAACAGGAUUAGAUACCCCCGUAGUCCCUGUCUCUUAUAC